UCUCUGACCUGUGGUUUGAUCAUCUAUCCUCCUUUCCAACUUCAACCCCGCAUGCCUCCGGUCUCAGCCCGACGAAGACGAAGAUGGAGACAAAGGCAGAGAAAUACCAUCCUCCAUCUGAAUGAGAAAUAGAGGGGAAUGAGAAUAUUACUCCGAUUGGCUCAAAGAUCACAGUAAUUUCAACUUCGUGCCUUGUUUUUUAUGUAUUUGUUUAUCAUAACCAAUGUUUCAUUUGUUUGCUUAGGAAAGCCUAAUGGGUUUUUUAUUUUA